rnacentral:rRNA from 1 species
UACGGAGGGUGCGAGCGUUGUCCGGAUUCACUGGGCGUAAAGGGUGCGCAGGCGGCCAAGUGUGUGAGGCGUGAAAGCCCGGGGCUUAACCCCGGAAUUGCACCUCAAACUACAUGGCUAGAGCAUUGGAGAGGGUAGCGGAAUUCACGGUGUAGCAGUGAAAUGCGUAGAUAUCGUGAGGAACACCAGAGGCGAAGGCGGCUACCUGGACAAUUGCUGACGCUCAGGCACGAAAGCGUGGGGAGCAAAAGGG